rnacentral:lncRNA from 1 species
GUCUGUCGCAGUGCACAGACGCCAUUCAGGGCAGAGCCUGGCUGCUGUUUAUUGUGUCUGCGCAGUAUUUACACAACACCGGACACACUUGCUGCUUUCAAAUUGUUAAAAUAUUCAGUAAUACAGAUAAGACCAAUGGACAAAACUAAAUUGAAAUAAUUAGGUCUGUGCAUUUGUUGUUGACUAAUUCCAUUCCUUGAAAGUGAAACUUAUGGAACACAAAUUUAGUAAUUUUAUUUGGCAAUUCCAGCUCUUUUUAAAAAGGACUGUGUGUACAACCAAGCUAUUCCAUCCUCUGGAAAUGUGCACAGACAAAGCAUUGAAAGCACCUAUUUGGAAGAGUAGAAGACAUUUGAACUUCUGUCUUGUCUUGGAGGUUUCACUAAAAUAGAGGAUCAUUCAUUUUGUAGACAAUUUUGAAAAUCCUAUGGUAAAAACUGUCAGGAAGUUACUUUUCAGCUAGUGGGAAAACUUUUUCUUGCAAUGAAUCUGAUUGCACUGUAAAAUAUUCCAUUUGUAUAGCUUGCUGCUUCUUUUACAAAAAUAUUUACAAGCGAGAGGUUUUUUUCCUUCAGAACAAAUCUGUUCUUUCUAUUUCACGUUCAACUGAAGUCAUAAAACACUAACAUGCAUCACAAUUUCCAGCUGGGAAAAAAAAUUGUGGUUAUCAUUCAUUCAAGCUUGGGCAAAGGACAAAAUGUGAAGUUUUUAAGGACUUAAUGUUAUGUUUUUUUAAAGGACUUUUUUUUGAGUGCCUCAUGAAGCAUGAACUGCUCUUCUGUGUUACUCAAGGAUGGAUGGAUAUUCAAUAGGCUAAUAUUUACCAUGUUGGAAAAAGAUUCAAACCACGUGAAUAUUUGUUCAUUCCUGUUGGCUUAACAAAACUGACAGUCAUGUCACAUUUUAUCAUGACAUGCACCAGACAGAGAACAGCAUCCUAAAAGCCAGUUCAAAGCAGCAUGUCAUGUACAGCAAAAAACUGUAAGGAGAUAUUGUCUGACUUUGAAUGGGUGGUAAAAAACUCUACUGCCUUCAGAUUUUCUUUAGUAAGAAAUGUCUUAUGCCCAGCAUUUGAAACAUAUUAAGAGUUGCCUGGCUUUCUGCUGCAAUAUUUUCUUGUUUUACUAAUUCCCUGGGUUUCACCGUACCAAGUUGUAUUAACACCUUGCAGCUGUAAUGGCAUGGCUGAGAGUCUCUUCAUAAAGAUUAUGGGACACACAGCUACAGUGGGUCCAUUGUGAGAGUUUACUAUAGGCAGCCCUACCAGGAUGAUGACACUGAUGAGGGUGUCCUCCUCCUUCAAGGAACAAAGAGGGUUCCUCUAAAUCACCUGCCCCUGUCCUUUCUGGGGACUUUUGCUGGGUGUAGGGUGGGAAUACCACACAGCUGGU